CUGCUUCUGAUUUCUUUCCUUGUGUUGGGUGGAUAGUUGAUAGGAUCACAGGUCUCCAUGGCAGGCUAAAGAAGAGCGCCAAGGAAAUGGAUAUUUUUCUGCAAAAAACAAUUGAUAAGCAUGAGGGAAAGAAGGUAGAAGAAGGGAAGGAGGAUAUUGUUGAUGUGCUGUUAAAGAUAGAGAAGCAGCAGAAGGAACAAGGCUCCGUUACUCUCACCAGAAGUCAUAUCAAAGCAAUCCUCAUGGUAUAUAUAUACUUGUAUACAUGGCUUUUUUCUUCUUAUCCAAUCUACUUAAUUUACUGAACAUUAGUAUGAACUAACAUUUAAUCAAUUUAAACUUGUGUCAGGAUGUAUUUAUCGCUGGAAUUGACACUGCAGAAAUCACAAUGGUCUGGGCGUUAACAGAGCUUAUGAGGAACCCAAGAGUGAUGAAGAAAGUACAAGCUGAGAUUAGAGAAGUUGUCGGAAACAAAGGAAAAGUGAGUGAAGACGACCUUGAAAAACUUGCAUAUCUAAACAUGGCGGUGAAAGAGACAUGGAGACUUCACCCACCAGGUCCAC
rnacentral:lncRNA from 1 species